GAUGAAGAACGUAGCGAAAUGCGAUAAGUAGUGUGAAUUGCAGAAUUCAGUGAAUCAUCGAAUCUUUGAACGCACAUUGCGCCCCUUGGUAUUCCAUGGGGCAUGCCUGUUCGAGCGUCAUUUCAACCCUCGAACCCCUCCGGGGGGUCGGCGUUGGGGAUCGGGAACCCCUAAGACGGGAUCCCGGCCCCGAAAUACAGUGGCGGUCUCGCCGCAGCCUCUCCUGCGCAGUAGUUUGCACAACUCGCACCGGGAGCGCGGCGCGUCCACGUCCGUAAAACACCCAACUUCUGAAAUGUUGACCUCGGAUCAGGUAGGAAUACCCGCUGAACUUAAGCAUAUCAAUAAGCGGAGGA
rnacentral:misc_RNA from 1 species